rnacentral:rRNA from 1 species
AUUGAACGCUGGCGGCAGGCUUAACACAUGCAAGUCGAGCGGAGAGAGGUAGCUUGCUACUGAUCUUAGCGGCGGACGGGUGAGUAAUGCUUAGGAAUCUGCCUAUUAGUGGGGGACAACAUUUCGAAAGGAAUGCUAAUACCGCAUACGUCCUACGGGAGAAAGCAGGGGAUCUUCGGACCUUGCGCUAAUAGAUGAGCCUAAGUCGGAUUAGCUAGUUGGUGGGGUAAAGGCCUACCAAGGCGACGAUCUGUAGCGGGUCUGAGAGGAUGAUCCGCCACACUGGGACUGAGACACGGCCCACACUCCUACGGGAGGCAGCAGUGGGGAAGAUUGGACAAUGGGCGGAAGCCUGAUCCAGCCAUGCCGCGUGUGUGAAGAAGGCCUUAUGGUUGUAAAGCACUUUAAGCGAGGAGGAGGCUACUUUAGUUAAUACCUAGAGAUAGUGGACGUUACUCGCAGAAUAAGCACCGGCUAACUCUGUGCCAGCAGCCGCCGUAAAAC